CGCCAGUGAUGACGAACUUUUUUUUCUUUUUCUGACACCUCGUAUGAGAGCUACCAGCUCCUGAUUCUAACUUUUAUCUGAGGCUA